rnacentral:rRNA from 1 species
UGGGGAAUAUUGCGCAAUGGGCGAAAGCCUGACGCAGCAACGCCGCGUGAUUGAUGAAGCUUUUCGGAGUGUAAAGAUCUGUCAUGAGGGAAGAACAGUCCUGAUGUAAAUAAUAUCAGGAUUUGACGGUACCUCAUAAGAAAGCACCGGCUAACUUAGUGCCAGCAGCCGCGGUAAUACUAGGGGUGCAAGCGUUGUCCGGAAUUACUGGGCGUAAAGGGUGCGUAGGCGUCUACGUAAGUUGUUUGUUAAAUCCAUCGGCUUAACCGAUGAUCUGCAAACAAAACUGCAUAGAUAGAGUUUGGAAGAGGAAAGCGGAAUUCCUGGUGUAGCGGUGACAUGCGUAGAUAUCAGGAGGAACACCGAAAGCGAAGGCAGCUUUCUGGUCCAAAACUGACGCUGAAGCACGAAAGCGUGGGGAGCAAACAGG